AUUUUAACGUAAUUAUAUCCCAUGCAAUAUUUGGGAUAUACUUAUACUAAAA
rnacentral:pre_miRNA from 1 species